rnacentral:sRNA from 1 species
CCGCCCACGGCACCACCCACGGCGGCUUCGGUGUUGCUGCCGGCAAGGGCGGCGCCGCUCAGCAGGCUGGCGGACAACAGCAGAAUAGAGGAGUACUUCAUGGUUAAACCUCAGCAGGAAUGACGGCGCGAUCCUCGGCUGUCGGUCGGGCCUGUGCAAGCGCUGGGAGACGAAAGGUGUGAAUCCCUUCGCUUUAUGCAACUUAUUGAUUUAUAGCGGGAACUUCGAGGAAGCGAAGCGGUCUUUGGGGGUCGACUUUCAGCUGCCCGCUUUUGGGCUGUAGACACGCGGCGGGCUGCGGU